rnacentral:rRNA from 1 species
GACGAACGCUGGCGGCGUGCCUAACACAUGCAAGUCGAGCGGGGGGAGUACUUCGGUACAAACCUAGCGGCGGACGGGCGAGUAACACGUGGGUAACCUGCCUCCAAGUGGGGGAUAGCCUUCCGAAAGGAAGAUUAAUACCGCAUAACCCAUAGCCUCCGCAUGGCAGCAAUGGUAAAGAUUUAUCGCAUUGAGAUGGACCGGCGGCGCAUUAGGUAGUUGGUGUGGUAACGACUAACCAAGGCCACGAUGCGUAGCCGACCUGAGAGGGUGAGCGGCAACAUUGGAACUGAGACACGGCCCAGACUCAUACGGGAGGCAGCAGUGGGGAAUAUUGCACGAUGGGCGAAAGCAUGAUGCAGCAACGCCGCGUGAGUGAGGAAGGCCUGCGGGUUGUAAAGCUCUGUCUUUUGGGACGAUAAUGACGGUACCAAAGGAGGAAGCCACGGCUAACUACGUGCCAGCCGCCGCAGUAAUAC